GGUUGUGGCUCAGGGGUAGAGCACUUUCCUAGCAUGCAUGAGACACUGGGUUCAAUUCCUGGCACCA
rnacentral:tRNA from 1 species